CUUAAUGGGAUGUUGAUUACUGAGUCCAAAAUGAACUAGCUUUCGUGAUCCAACACCUUGAUCAGCCAGUUCGAUCUUUGAUAUAUUAGAUGCAGGGCUUGCUAUCCACUUCUGCGCAUCUUCCCAUUUUGAAGGGGCAGGUUUCGAAAAAGAAGUAAGAGGCACUCUUUGAAAAGCCCACGCAGACUGUGACCCCGUACCAUCAAGUCCACUAUCAUAAUCCACUUCAACAUUGUCUGGAGACCUGAUUCUUGAACUACCCAGAGAGAAAUUGCUCACUCUACCUUCGCCAAUCGUCGCCAAGGAAUUAACUCUCUCUGAAGUCAUAGCUCUCACAAAACUCAAUUACAAAACCAUACACUGAACCAAAAAAAAAAAAAAAAAGCAUCUAAAUUAGAACAUUUUUCUUGGAAUUGAGUUAAUCAUUAAGGUUCAUAACAAUAAGAAUUAUUGAAAGAAAUUUUGUUUUUCUUCAUAAAUUAAAUAACACAAAAGUCCCAGUUGUCUGAUUGCUUAUGAAAAUAACAGAGAAUCCAUUUUUUAUUUUGGUUUUUCAUUACAUUUAUAUGUGAUGUGAAACAGAAAAGGAAAAAUAGAAAAUCCAAUGAGUUCAAGGAUCUUACUGCAACAAAAAAAGUGCACAAUUUUAAUAAAUGUGGGGUGGUGAGAUUUGACCUCACUACAUUUUUAUUAUGUCUUCGACAAUACACAAGUACACUAAUAGGAAUCAAGGAACAAACAAAGCAAAAUACCAACACAUUCUAUACCACCCAAGCCUCCCAACAAAAUUAAAUAUAAAAGGAACAAAACAGGAAUUUCUGAUUAGAGUGCAGGGUACAACUACGAUAGCAUGCGAUAUAGAAAACCCAUGUUCGACUCGGUUUGAACUUUUAGGAUUCGAUGAUCAGGCUGGGUUUGAAAAGUGAAAACAUUGGAAAUACCUGAAUCUUGUAUCUUAGAAACAUGGAAAAUUCAACGCCCGGUUCAUCAUCUAUCUUGUUUUGGGUUCUUUUCGACUACUGAAGAGAAAGUAAAUUAGCAAAAGAAAUACGUACCAAAUGCAUUGAAAUGUUGGAAGGGAAAACGAUAGCUCUGGGAAUGCAGAUUUCACGGAUCCAAGUUGAUUUCUUCAAGCAACACAAGACCAGAAAGGACAAGCAAAAACUGUAAAAUCUCUGUAUUGAAAACAAGAUGAAGUGAAAAUGAAAUGUCCUCCUGUCGCUUUCAACACGCGAACGUCGUUGGGGAAACAAGUGUAAAGAAAACUAGGUAAAUUUUAUAUUAGUCAUCACUAAAAUUUCACCAAAAUUUCAAUCGAACCAUUAAACUUUAAUUUAUCUCAGUUGGAUAACUAAUUUUAAAUUUAAUUUUAAACUUGGGAAAAUUGCAGCAGCUGUACUAAACCUUUCUUUUAUUAGCAGACUUUGCCCAAACCUUCAUUUUGUGCCAGCGAAGGUCUCAAACCUUUCAUAAAUAUGCAGCCGAAAUCCAGAUGGAUGGAAUCCAUCCAUUUCACCGUUAGUUGACCAAAGAACUGACUUUGAUUCCAAAUUUGACCAUAUUAGUAAGGGCAAAAUAGUAAUUUGUAUAUUAUCCCAUUAAUUAAAUAAGUUAAAUAGAUAAACCAUAAAUAAAUAAAAAAAUGAAAGAAAGAAAAUGUGGGCAUCAUCUUCUUCUUCCCCCUGCUCGAUUUUUCCUUUUUUUUCAUGAUACGUUGUUCGAAAAAAAAAAAAUUUUGACCCCACAGUUCAAAUGGUCUGGGUCCGCCCCUGCCUGUAAACAAGGAAUCCAAUAUAAAAACUGGACAUUUAGGCAUGUAUACAUAGAAACAUGAAAUAUAGAUAUUGAGAUGUAUGAUAUGAUAAAACAACACAAAAAUUAAAGAGCAACAAAAGAGUCUUACUCGAUUCUUUUACACGAUUUUCAAUCACCGCUGGCUUGCUAAAUGAUUCACUUGGAUACGGGCCAACCUCCCAACUAACAGACUUCUGCCCUCCAGUCUCUUUAGUAGCAUGACUCCGGUCAAUCCCUUUAGUAUCUGGCUCCUCAGUAGUCAAUAAUCUCUGAUCAGGCACUUCAACAACCACCUUAAUGGGAUGUUGAUUACUGAGUCCAAAAUGAACUAGCUUUCGUGAUCCAACACCUUGAUCAGCCAGUUCGAUCUUUGAUAUAUUAGAUGCAGGGCUUGCUAUCCACUUCUGCGCAUCUUCCCAUUUUGAAGGGGCAGGUUUCGAAAAAGAAGUAAGAGGCACUCUUUGAAAAGCCCACGCAGACUGUGACCCCGUACCAUCAAGUCCACUAUCAUAAUCCACUUCAACAUUGUCUGGAGACCUGAUUCUUGAACUACCCAGAGAGAAAUUGCUCACUCUACCUU
rnacentral:lncRNA from 1 species